UAAAAGUUCAUUCUUUAAGUCGUGGUCCAACAAUUUUAUAAUUAUAUGAUAAUCAUGUUCAUUUUUAAAAUACUAAAUAAUCAUUUUUAUAACAUUAUGUUCACAUUUUAGUACUAAAUGUUCAUUUUUUUUAUGUGUUUAUUUUCUUAUUACUUAAUGUUCAUUUUUAUUACGUUUUCAUAUUUUUUUUAUUAAAUUAAAUGUUCAUUUUACAGGGCGUAGUGCAACUAAGAAUUAUCGUAGAACAAGGAGCCAAUAUGACUCGUCCAAAAGUAUCCAAGCCCAAACUCCAUUCCAAAUCUACUCGGCCCAUUCCUACAUCCUUCAUAUCACUCAUUCCUCAUUUUCUGCUCAUUCUCUCUCCCUCCACCACCAUGACAACCACCAUCCUCCGCCGCACCAUCACCACCAACCUCCGCCAUUUUCUCUCUCCUCCCCUGCACUACCACCAUCUCUCCACAACCCCACCACCCCACUUCCCCAAAUCCCAAACCCCCUCAGAAAAACAAUUCCAAACAUGGGUCAACUUCCUCAAACCCGGGUUCACCCCUUCCGACGUUAACCACGCCUUAAACUCCCAAUCCGACCCCGAUUUAGCCUUCGACAUCUUCCGCUGGACCUCCCACCAACGCGGCUACACCCACGACUCCUCCACUUACCUCACCAUGAUCCACCUCGCCGUCGCCGGCCGCCGCCACCGCCACGCCGAAGCCCUCCUCGAGGAAGUCCUCGCCGGUGCUUGCCCUGUUAGUUUACCCCUUUACAAUUCCUUGAUUCGAUUCUGUUGCUCUCAUCGUUGUUUGUUUAAUCGUGCUUUUGAUGUUUAUAAGAAGAUGAUGAAGGAAGAUAGUAUUGAUUGUAAGCCGAAUUUGGAGACUUAUGCUAUGUUGUUUAAUGUUUUGCUUAAGAAGUUUAAUAAGUUGAAUGUUAGUUAUGUUUAUUUGAAUGCUGUGAGGUCUUUGAAUAAGCAGAUGAAGGCGCUUGGUGUGGUGCCGGAUACGUAUGUGUUGAAUAUGAUUAUUAAGGCGUAUGCUAAGUGUUUGCAGGUUGACGAGGCGGUACGAGUGUUUCGGGAGAUGGGGUUGUAUGGGUGUGAGCCCAAUGCGUUUAGUUAUGGUUAUUUGUUUAAGGGGUGUUGUGAGAAGGGGAGGGUGUGGCAGGGGUUUGGGUUUUUUAAGGAGAUGAGGGAGAAAGGGUUGGUGCCCUCGAGUGGGGCGUAUAUGGUGUUGGUGUGUAGUUUGGCAUUGGAGAGGAAGUUUGAGGACGCGGUUGAGGUUUUGCGUGAUAUGUUGGGGAAUUCUUUGAAACCGGAUUUGUUGACGUAUAGGACAUUGUUGGAGGAGAUGUGUAGGGAUGGGAAGGGAAUUGAGGCUUUAGAGCUUCUUGAGGAGUUUAGGAAAAAGGAUGUUGCAAUGGGGGAGAGGACUUAUAAUGAGUUGGUGGAUUCCUUGCAUUUUGUGGAUCGGUAGUAGGGGAUGGUGUUUGUGCUUGGUUCUUGUGUUCUGUGUUUGUGCUAUUCAAUUAAGAAUUAUCAUGGUAUUAAUGGAAAUUGUCACAUAAUUUCGGAUCAUUUGGAUGUCAUGUCAGGACGAUGGAAACAAUUCUAUGAUUGGCCAUAUGCAAAGUUUGGAGUUGUAGAAGGGGCUAUGAUGGUCUGGAAUGUUGAGUCUUAAAUCCAAUUGCGUGAGCAACCUGUUUCCGGCUUCCUGCCUUCUUUUAGCUGAGAAAUUGGACUCAUACAGGAAGCUUUUGGAGCCUUCUUUAUGGUUACAGAAUAUGAGAUAUCAGUCAUAUCACAGGUCACAGAAAUUGCCUGCAAGCUUUGUAAAUGCAAAUGGAAGUCUCUCUUGGUUCAGUGAGCCAUAGAUGGAUAUAUUAUCAUUAUUAUGUUGGUAUCUUGGAUUAGUUUGUAGCCGUCUAAGUGACCUACUUGUCACAGUCUUCAGUGCAUUGUCCAUGGAUUGGAAUCAUACAAUUGUUAUACAGACAUGGCACUCUAGAGCAAGCCCUCAAUUACGGCUUCUUGUAAGCUCUCGAUGUAUGGAAAAGAUAGUUACUUCUAGCUAUGCUUUGGGCUUCAAAGUAUUUGUAUGUUAUAAAUAGCAUCUUCUAAAUGUGUAAACAGUACAGUACUAUAAUGUUUGGUCGUCUGAAAUGUUACUAUUCUUAAGCGAGCAACUCAACUCCAAUCUGAAGGGUAGCAUAAACUGGGACUGCAAGAUAAUUGAAAUCCAAAGUGGUCUCAUUGUUCUUGCCAGCAACACUGCUUACAAAAGGUGAAUGCCACCAAGAGGUAUGUCCCCUUCUUCUUGCAAGGCCUGCAUGUUUUAAAAUCCUUCCAUACUUCAUACAAGUAGAACUUAAGUUUCUGUUUCUUAGCAAAUUCAUCCCAGCAAUCAUUUCGUUGUGAGUUCAAUUUCAGUUCUGAUCUCCACAAACAUACAAGUAACUUUUACUGCGAGAAAUUUUACAAGGAGUUGAGGGGUUACAGAGAGAGCAGAGAGGUUUAUUGUGAGACAAGUGUUUUUUAUUUGUACAGCUUAAGCAACUUUGUACGGGCUUUGUUUGAGUUUGGCUCUCUGGUAUCAUGUUGCAACCCCAUUCUGUGUCAAAUGCAACAAUCGGGUUGCUCCUAGUGCUAUUCCAGAAUUGUAGGAGGCUGCUAAUUAAGCUUACCGGGCAUAUUACUGGUUCAUACUUCGUAAGCUACUGCAAGUAACAGAGGGGAGAAAAAUAAACAUUAGUCUCUAGAAUACAACUACAGACUAUAGAGUAUUGAUUAAUGAAAGAGAUCAGAUUAGGAUGAUACCUUCUGCUUUGGAGGAUCUGGCGUCUAAAAGUAGAAUAUUACUGGUUCAUACUUCGUAAAAGUAUUUUAUAGGCAAAUCUUGUCGUUGAAGAGGAAACUAAUUCCUGGAAAAACGAAGAUUUGAAGAGUUUGAGAACUGUCUAUUCAGGAAUGAGUUAGAAUGUAGACCAUAUCACCACUUAAUUGCUACAGCAUUGUAUUGAGUUGGCUAUUUAAUUAGUUGGGGGUUAGUUUUACUUAUAUUAUGUAGUUCAUUCAAGUUCUAUCCGAACUAGAUCUGAUCAAAGAAAAACAAUCCAAUCUUAUUUGAGGAAUAAGAAAUCCUAUUUAUACAAUUUG